rnacentral:rRNA from 1 species
UACGUAGGGGGCAAGCGUUGUCCGGAUUUAUUGGGCGUAAAGAGCUCGUAGGCGGUUUGUCGCGUCUGCCGUGAAAACUCGGGGCUUAACUCCGGGCCUGCAGUGGGUACGGGCAGACUAGAGUGCGGUAGGGGAGACUGGAAUUCCUGGUGUAGCGGUGAAAUGCGCAGAUAUCAGGAGGAACACCGGUGGCGAAGGCGGGUCUCUGGGCCGAUACUGACGCUGAGGAGCGAAAGCGUGGGGAGCCAACAGG